GCAGUGGUUGUUCAGUGGUAGAAUUCUCACCUUCUGUGUGGGAGACCCAAGUUCGAAUCCCAGCCAGUGCC
rnacentral:tRNA from 1 species